GACGUAGGGGGCCAGCGUUGCUCGGAAUUACUGGGCGUAAAGGGUUCGUAGGCGGUGUGGCAAGUCGGAAGUGAAAUCUCUAGGCUCAACCUAGAGGCUGCUCCCGAAACUGCCAUGCUAGAGUGCGGGAGAGGCGAGUGGAAUUACAGGUGUAGCGGUGAAAUGCGCAGAUAUCGGGAGGAACACCUAUGGCGAAGGCAGCUCGCUGGGACGUUACUGACGCUGAGACGCGAAAGCGUGGGGAGCAAACAGG
rnacentral:rRNA from 1 species